UGAAACCUGUUUCGCCCCUUGGUGACCAAGGAGUCAACAAAUUCGAUCAAACAAAAAUGGCAUUAUCAUUUUUUCUCUAUUUCUAAUAACUAUGUGCAUUUAUAUCAAAUUUGAAAGACCUUGUGCACCUAGCGGCCUAGUUUCAGCGAGAAUUGCUCCGCUGAGCUAUUCGACUUAAUUCCAGAUAGUGCUGCAAUAGCCGUUAAAGCCCUUUUGCAAGUAUAGUUAACGUAACUCUUAAAUGUGAGCUUAUCGUCAACCAUAACAACCCAGACCUUCGAAGAUCGCUUUGAGGUAAUGGUGCAGUCUCCGACCACGACCACUGUUGCUGCCUGUUGCUCUGAUUUGCGGUUAUUCACAACCGUGACUUCCAUCUUAUGGUGCGCCAACUCCAGUUUCCUGGAGUGCAUCCAGUCUUCGACUCGUCCUUCUCGCUCGACUCGCCGUAGACUUCUAGCGUUAUUUCGUCUGUUGAAUCGACGAUCACAAUCCCUACAGGGAACUUGAGUUUCAACACCUCGUCAUACGUGGCAUUCCACAACACCGGUCCCAGAAUAGAACCUUGCGGAGCUCCUGCGGUAAUUGUGAUGCACUUUUGACCCUUCUCCGUGUUGUAAACAGUGGUGCACGAAUGCCCCCGAGCGCAAGCGCUUCGGAGUCCCAACUGGCGAUAAUUAACGCAUUCUUCACGUCAAGCGUGACGAUGGAGCAAAGCGUAUGCCCCUUCUUUUGCGCUGGAGUGCUACCUUUGCCGUCUUGGUGACGGAUAGGCUAGCAUCCAGCGUAAACCUACCCUUCCGGAAACCGAACUGAUUACUUGCCAGACCGUUUACACCCUCCGUGAGGAUAAUCCUACAAAGCACCUUGCCCGUAGUGUCCAGCGGCUAGAUAGGCCUGUAUACUGAUGGGUACCCUGGUGGUUUCCCUGCCUUCGGCAGUAAGACCAAUCUCUGCCACUACCACCUCUCUAGGAAGAGGCAGUCAUCCAGGCACCUCUGAAUGACUGCCCGAAACAGCCCGGGGGGCGUUUUUAUCACCAGGCUGAUUGCCAGGUUAGGGAUUCUAUCCUGUUCCGGUGCCUCGCUCACCUUUUGGUAGUUGGCAAUCACGAUGAGUUCCUCAUUCGUAAUCCUUACCUCUCCCUCAAUCUCGACACGGCUGUCGUCGGUCACGAAUUGGAUGUUCGGCCAUCCCUGGUCUGUGUCUGAGAUACUGGAACGCCGAACGUGACACUCGAGUGCCGGAGGACAAGGACUAAGCUCGUAGCGAGGAAAGAGUCCCUCUUUGAAACGCUCCAGCAUCGUUCUACAGGCGUAAGCGCACCGUUGGUCUUCUCCGUCGAUCGGUUAGCUCUCACACACGGUUGUGAUAUCGGGUUCGAUUAACGAUCAGGUCGAGGGUCUUCUCGAGCUUGCAAUUUUCUCGAUUCCGCACUGUGAUACGGUGUAUCGUUGUACUUAUCUUACAGCAUGCAAAAUGUGCCAAAAACAAUAUCGAAAACUUUCUCUCUCUCUCUCUCAAGUAAUCUAGUUGACCGACAUCAUUAUUAGCCCCUCAGGCUAGCGUGCGAUAUUGACAUUGAUAGUUUUGAGCAUUCAUUUCUAACAAAUUUUCACAACACUAUUAAUCAUAAAACUUCAAUUUCUCUCUGUUACAAAUUUCGGGAUCUUAACUAUUGACGCGUUUAACAUAAAAGCUUCGUAAACUCUUGUGGAAGAACGUUGAUUGAAUGUUUCGAUCGCACACAGGUCACAAAUAGAACAGUAUGCCGCUGAUAUACCCUGCGUGGGAGGAGACAGGCGACGACACCUAUAGAAUGCGAAGCCAUUAAAUCAACCUCUUCAAAAGACUUACCGUAGACCUCCGGGGUUAUGAUGUCCGCAAAUCCAAGAGAAAUUUGAUUUUACCACACUUCAAUACAUGCUUUUCCACAUCAAUGGACCCAGGAUGGAACCUUGCGGUACCCCGGUAGACCAUUCUAUAUUCCAAUGAAUCACUACAGAUAAGUCUAUAUGCCAAUGGAUAUAGGAUAAAUUUCCGUCCAUUGGCAAUAAAACCAGCCUCUGUCAGUUUUCCCUUCCUAGGACGAAGCAGUUAUCCAGGAAUCUCUUCAUGGCUACCCUGAACAUUCACUUUUAUUGUCAUCCUGGUGGCCAGAUUCAGACACAAUUCCAUCCGAUCCUGGUGCUUUUCUCAUUCGAAAUACCUAUUUCUGUCUCUAAUAUACUGUAGAGUACGUCGUAGGAUCAUUCAACAGUUGGAGAACAAGGACUUGGUUCGUGGCAUGAAAAGAAUCCCCCGACGAUUCACUUUAUUGUUGUUUUUGUUCAGCAUCCUAGAGCCGUGGUGACUCGUGUCGUAUCAAGAAUUUUUCUCCCCUUUUACUCGUUCCUCGGCUACUCGUCGCCCUUUUCCUAGGCGUCGUGACACACAACCUGGUCAAACCAUCUUGCACGCUAAACCCUCUGUUUCUGGUGCUGGUGGGGCUCUUGAAGGAAACUGAUAUUACCACAGUGUCGUUCGGCAUUCUCGUGACAUGCCCGGCCCUACGUCAGGUGCCAGAAUUCUCUCCAAAUAAUACCUGUAGCUCGUUUCGAUUUCUCUUCCACAACACUUUCAAAUCAAAUUCGACCAGUGCGUGCAAGUCCUCCGUGAGUAACGUCAUGAUUUCAAGUCCAUACAGAACUACGGUCUAAUUAGGGUUUUGUACAUCGUCGAAGCAUCUUGAGAAGUCUCGAAUUCCAGCUAUUCAAGCUGUCGUUAGAUCUCUUUUCUUAUGUAAGUAUCAACGGUUACCAGGGAUCAAAGAUAUACGAACGCGUGGAUUGCCUCCGCCUUCGCAAAAUUUUCAUCUGCUUGUCGCAACCCUCUGCGCUUUUUGAAGGAAUACGAGAGUGUCCAUCACUCGGUCCCAGGUAGCUUUGAGAAAUCGCCUCAGUUUAUCCGUAUUGCAAAGUACCGUUUUGAUUCAUACUUCGAAGUCUCAAACUUCGAACACUUUACAAUAAAAACCGAAUUAUUAUAACCAGUGUAAUAAAAGGAAUGUUCUUCACCCAGUGAUGUAUAGCUCUUUGCUGUAGAGCCACUUUCGGGGAAUCAGCAGGCGUUGGAAAAAGUGACAAUCAGUAUUCAAACGGGUUGCUCAUCUAACUAAGAGAUUCCUUGUUUUCAUGUACAAAACGUGUUUGAAUCUAUAAACAACACUUAAUUGCAACAAAAACAAAAUAACCAACAUACUAAACUUUUAAGAUCAAUGAGAAAGUUCAUUUUUCGUUGAUUUUUUAAGUGUUCGAAAUUGGAUGCAGUAUGGUACGUCUCGUGACUUUGAAUGCUAAUAGUGAUAUGAAAGAUUUGUUUGAUUUGAUCAAACAGUACAGUGGUUGCUAUGCGAAGAGCUUACCACCACUUCUUCUGGAUCGUGGAUUACUUGCUUCAAAUGGUGAAGAGACAGGAUGACAGCUUGUCAUGUUAAAUCUGCCUAAUACUUCUUCAGUUUAGCUCUGUUGGUCGAGACUCGAGGGACGACUCAACACGUUCUCGGUUUCCGCUGAUUUUGAGUCGCAGACAAAACUUUACUCAACUCAAGUCCUUCGUCUGGAACCGAGUGCACAGGAACUUUUGCAAUUGUUUCUUUAAUUUUCCUCUAGCCGUGAAGAUCAGAAAUAUAGUGACGAACAACACCGACCUUUAAUUGUUCUAGCCCGAACUCGUUUAACGCUUCAUCCAGCUGCUGGCUCCAAACUCGGCUGGAUUAUUUCAGACCGUACAAUGCCUUUCGAAGCCGGCACACUUUCGUCGUGUCCAUUACAAAUCCUUCUGGCUGCUGCAUAUAGAUUACUUCAGCUUCCUUUCUUGAGCUUCCCUUGCAGAAAAGCCGUGAUUUCGUCCAUUUAGUCCAUCUCAAGGUUGAACUUUGUCGCCAAUGCCAUCAGGAAUCUUAUUGUAGAAUAUAGGACCACCGGUGCAUAGACCUCGUCGUAGUCGAUAACCGGCCGUUGCGGACAACUCUUGACGACUAAGCCGGUCUUGUACUGUUCAAUUUUUCCGUCUGAUAGUCUUAAAUACUCACUUGUUUUUGAUCGCUUUCCCGCCUUUGGGCAAGUUUGCAAGCACGCACGUCUAGUUGAUCUCCAAUGUAGCGAUUUCCUUUCUCGUAGCAGAAAUCCACAGCUCUCGGUCUGGUCUAUUCAACGCCUCGUUGUACGUGGUUGGAUCGUUCAUUUAUUGUGCCGCUUGUCACUGUUCGGAAACAUGUUGGCCAAUAUACGUACUAUAAGUAGUAAACUUGGCAUACUUGCCUGGAGGCCGGCACUCCCGACCAUUGCCUUUCGUCUCUAGCUGCUUGUCAGUCGAUCUUUCGAGUUGCGAUUAGAGCGCAAUUUCGUCGUCUUCAUCUUCAAAUUCUUCCGAACUGCUACUCACAUCUACAGUCGAUUCAACAGUUACUACUGCCGCCUCAUCACUUGGUUGUUCUGGUUGACAUAUUCGGGUCGUGCAGCAGACUGGAAAUCAUCACACGCUUCAUCGACUGCCGCAUCGAAAAAUUCGAUCUCCAGAAAUUCUACUGAUUCUGCCGGCUCAGGUGUUGCCACACCACGGCUAAUAGCGCCUUAAUUGGCCUCCGGGUUGUUCAAUCUGUAACCUUUUGUGUCCUCAGCAUAUCCAACGAACACACAUUCCGCCGAUUUAGAGUCAAGCUGGCUACGGAUUUAAAUAUCCUGAAGUGGCUUUCUGUGAUAGUCAAGCAGCACUUAAAGCCCUGAAUUCUCCUUUCUGCCACUCUAAACUAGUGUGGGAAUGCAUCAUGUCGCUCCGAAAGUUAGCUAUGAAAAACCAGGUUAACUUAUACUUCCUGGUCCUGGUCCUUAGGUUUCUGGUCAUCAUGGAAUCGAAGGAAACGAGAAGGCCGACUAGACUAGCCAGACAAGUGUCAACCACUAACUUUGUUGGCCCAGAACCUUUCUGUGGAGUCUCCCUGAGCGCUCUAAAAGCUGAACUCGGUGAAUGGGAGAAAACGACGUUCAAAGCAAACUGAGAUGUCAUAAGCGGUUACGACAAUCGAAAAGAUUCAUAGAGCCAAAUCGCGAGAAGAGCCUCGUGCUGCUCAGGUUAAAUAAGAAAGACCUGAGGACAUUCACAGGCCCUAUUACAGGGCACUGUCCGAGUAAGUAUCAUCUCAAGAAGAUAGGCGAACUUGAUGAUGAUAAAUGUCGCCUUUGUGGCAUCGAAAGCGAAACUUCAUAACAUCUACUCUGCGAAUGCCGAGUAUUAAUACAACGCAGAUUGCGUAUCUUCAGUAAGAGACACAUAGAACCUACUGAAAUUUGGAGAAAAAGUCCCGGUGAGAUAAUAUACUUCAUACGAAGUGCGUUGCCCAACUGGGAUAAAUGUGCAAUGUAGCGAGGACAUCAACUCGCCAAAUAGUGAUGUACCUACUCGUACGCACUUAGAGUAAGUUGAAGUAUACUACAAUAGUUCAAAAAAUGGUCGCAGUGGUUCAGUGUUCUACAAGAGAAAAAAAAAAUCCUCGAGUGGCCAACGUAGGGUUUCUUUUUUGACCACGCCUUUUCUGGUGUCUUUCCAUCCAGGGACCUCAUUGGACUACAAUUAUGGAACUUUUAGGCAACUUGGCAUCAUUUAGCAUGCACCUCACUUCCUCGAGAAAGGUCCGAUUCAUGCGCUUAGCGACGAUGUUUUACUGAGUCGUAUAUAAACAGAAUUUUUGAUGACUUAUUCAGUCUCGCUAGAAAUUUGCCUUGAAUCGACCAUUCACAUAUUCUUGCUUGUUGUUACAGCGUGAAACCUUUAACUUGCACCCAGAUUGCCGUUCAACCAUCGGUUCGAAGUCUUCGUACGCUAAAGCUUGAUGUUCCGAUUUCAGGUUAUAUAUGAACACGUUCCGGGUAGCAUCAUCAAUGAAAAAUCGACAUCCACCAACAGAGGACACUUCAAACGGUUCGCAAAGAUCUGUAUAGACCAGCUCCAUAUGCUCCAAACGCUCAUUGGCCCUGGAAUCACUGUUGGGAAGUUCGUCACGAGGAUGUUUACCCUGUAGACAUGCAAUGCAUUCUAGUGUCCUCACAUUCUUGAUCUAAACUUUGUUUGUCAUCCGCCGCAAUAGCUUGAGAUUCUGUACAUUUGUACGUUCAUGGUGCGCACUUGCAUGCAGAAGUGUUGGAAAAUAUCAGCGCUGGUCGUAAGACAUUGUGCGCUACAACUCACAACUCUUAAGCAAAUAUUUGCUAUUUUUCAAUACAGAUUUUAUUUUGUGCAAAUAAAAAUCGUACCAAAAAUAGCAAAUAUUUGCGUCGUCUAAUACCUGCUUUAGCCGCAUAUACCUGUUGUCGCCUUUUAACCAAAAACUUGUCUUGCGAUGGAGCGAGUAUUAUUUUUGAGUUAGCACAUGCUCUUCUGAAAUUAAUAUUUUUAAUGUAAAUUAGACGUAUAUUUUCAACCCAAUAAUAAAAGGUACAAUUUGCAACAGAAACAUUUCAACAGUUGACUUUUCAGGAGCCAUAUUGACUGCAGUCAAAAUUUGUCCAUGCAAGAAAAGUAUAAACAUUAACUUUGGUUUUUAUGAUUAUGCGUAAGAUAAAGUCUAACCCAGGUUGAGCUUUUGAACCCAAUGCUCAAUCAAUAUAAAGUUUAUUUUAAAAGAAUUGUCGAGACAGACCAUUCAUUUUAUUUAUUAUUGAAAUACUAAAAAUUACACUUAACAUGAAUAGUUUCAUCAACAUAAAUAAAUUCUUCCUAUUUGCUUCUGUGCACGGCAUAAUGAAUCAAACCUUUCAGCGUGAAAUUAUCAUAAAAACCGUCUUCGUCACGUAUAGCCCACUUGCUUGCUGUCCCUCCCACUCUCGGUGGAAACAACUUUUUCCGGUCACGCACCGAGUGUUCCGGAAAGCCUCGACUGUCAUCAUUAAAGUAUGUCUUAUAAACUCCAGCGAAAAAAAAAAAUAGCUCAAUCCCUUAAUUCGCAGCGCUAUUCAUUCGCGGACAUUUUCGCUUACGUUUUAAAAAAGAGCGGACUUUUCUCUGCAGUGGGAGGACACUCUGAUUCACUAGCGUCCGAUAGCGCCCGCCACGCAAUCCCCCCGGGGCGCUUAGCGCACCUUUCGAUUGCAAGUUUACACAACCAACCGAGAGCGUCAACGCGUAACAGAACGUGCUUUUCAUCGACAAUUAUGCCGAGCUCACAAAUGAGGGUGGAAGCAGAACUGCCGCAGGGAAAUCCAGUCUACAAUUGGGCAGUCACACGUACCGCAGUGUCCGGCAGGAACUAAGCCACUGGUUACCGAGAGCCGCACGUUCCGUGAAAAUAUCCCCGUUAGUAGCCUUAGGCUACCGGCUUUAGGAGGAAAUCAAAACUUUACCCUUUCGAAGCCAUUUUUUCACCUUACAAAGGAAAUCUUAACCUCUAACACCUAGUACUCCAAAGGUAGUUGAAGUAUCUAGUGUUUUCUGUUCUCUCUCGCUAGUCCGGUAAACUACGUGUUCUUGCUAUGAGCCCAGGGCUAACCAAAGCUUGCGUGUUACUCCAGUCUCGGUAGAUUUAUUUUCCAUCGGAGGCAAACUCAUCAACUGUGAAUGUGGAAUAAAAUUCUUCCCUAGGCAAGUUUCUCACGUUUCUCUCGGUCGGAUUUGCAAGUGGACCAGAAGUGCGUCACUUCUAGAUACACGGUUCGGCCAGGUUAAUCGACUCUCGUUUCAGGACUGCUGGUUACAAUGGUUGGCUGGAACUUUGCUGGCGAAGCUGGUAAGGUGCGCUAAACAGAGGCUGACUUUUAUGCUCGUGUGCACUUUUGAAACUUGAGUGCCUGUUAGAAAUGACGCUGAACGAGUGGGGAAAAGAAUAAAGGAAUCAUUAUAUUGUGUUCUUAAAUUGAGGACGAUGGCGUUAUGUUUGCUGCUGUUGAGAAACGGUGGAGAGCUGCUCCAAGUGUGCGCGUCCGUCAGUCGGCACGAGACGAGAAAAAUAAGCUCGAGUACGUACUGUGUUUUGUUUGUCAGCAGCGCUAAAGAAACUUGUAAGAUGAGAGGAGAUGAUAUGUAAACACGAAAGCUGUACACCUCGGCUGGGUGGAUGAUAACAGGGAUGCCCGCGGAACGUUUUAUUUUGAUAACAGCCAGAGAGUAGCGAAAAUAAACCUGUUAUAUGAUAUUUAGGGAGUUGUCAACAUUUGAAGUAGUUCAUUUUGAAACAGUAAUAAAAAUGUUAAGCAAUUAUUUUGUAUCUCUUA